GCAUGAAGAAGAGGAAAAGCACGUGGAGGAUAGAGUAAAAUACGUAGACUAAGAGAGAAAGUAGGAUGCGGUGAUGGAAGUGAGAGCCGCUUGGAAAAAACUGGGAGAGAGGAGGAGGAGGUGGCGCUUGGAGCAGCAAAGACUCUGCGGUGUGUGCGCGUGCGCGCGAGAAAGAAUGGGGAAAGUAAUAGAUACUCGAAAGGCUGACUGGGUUGAUGAAUGGAAUUCCCCUCCGUAAUUUUUGGAGUCAUAAUUUUUGCCCCUUGGACUGUGCUUCUUGAAGUGCAGCGUGCCUGGAGCCCGGGCCGUGGGGCCACUCGGCUACGGAUGCUAUGUGAUCUAACCAGGACCCAGGAAGGGGCCCUCUGGCUGCAGUGAGAGAGGGGUACACGGGGCGACACGCAGUGUUCUCAGGAGGGCGGCACAGCUGCUGCAGGUGAGAAGUGCUGGGGACGGUCGAGAUCACUGGACGCCCUCAGAAAUGGUACUGCGGCUGGAGAAAUCAUUAACGAGGAAAGAAAUAACCCAAUUUCCGGGAGGCUGGGACAGGAGAAUUGCUUGAACCCGGGAGCAGAGGUUGCCGGGAGCCGAGAUCGCGCCACUGCACUCCAGCCUGGGCGACAGAGCGAGAUUCCGUCUCAAAAAAAAAAAAGAAAAGAAAAGAAAAGAAAGGAAAAGAAAAGAAGAGAAAAGAAAGAAACACCCAAUUUCAGAAAGAGAUGAGAAUGGAGAGCUCAGAAGACACAAUUUCUCUCUCACACUUCUGCCUUCUGGCCACAUCCUCCCAGACAGGAUAAAUUUGAAGGUGGUUCCCCCACGCCCCGCUAAAGAAAGGUGUCUUGUUUUCCAGAGCUAUCUCCAACUUUGCCACCUGAGAAACACAAGUCCAAGUCCAAUACUUACAGAAGAAAUAACUAUUCCACCUAGUCAAGGAACUAGCCAACACUUAAUGGAGGAUUGCCCUUGGUUAUAGAGCUAACUGCAAAUGAAGUAACUAGAGGAAGACCAUUUACCUUCUCCAUUGAAGAGACCAUUCAAGAGCCAACUCAGCAAUCAGGGUCUAGCAGUGUUACUGACUGGAUGACUGGCACUUAGAGUCCAGCACCCUGCUGAGAAACCAGCAACCCAUGUGAGGAUUCCAUGGCCAACUGAGAUCACAAGACUCUUGAACAGAAGAAAUGCCAAGAGAGCUAGAAUCUUACAGAUGGUGGUAUUAAUAAUGGAGCAAACUAGAACCAAUGACAAAGACAUGAAGUCUGAAAAUAGCACAGAGAAUAUAAAUAUUGUGAGAUGAAUGUUCCCCCUUCAAUUCUCCUUAUUUGCCAAAUAUUUUCAUUUCCUUUUGUCAUUAUAGAAAAUAAAACCAUGCAUCACAGUCAAAAGUGCUCCACUAGCAACAUUGUAUGAUUCACUCUUUUUGUCAUACAUGUCUUUAGUAAUUGAUGGAUAUUAAAAUCACACAGACUAUUUAAUAAGGGCUUAUUUUACUUGCAUCGCCACUUUGAUUCAAAAAAAGAUUUAAGGUAGUUAAUAAGGUUAGAAGGAAAGAGAGUUAACAAAGACAAGAACUUUAACUAGAGUCAAAACUAAAGUCAAUAUUUAAGAAAUAAACACCACAUAGUCUCCCACGCUUUCUC
rnacentral:lncRNA from 10 species